rfam:Triticum aestivum genome assembly, contig: Triticum_aestivum_CS42_TGACv1_scaffold_643074_T_5AL-0.218593_7DL-0.143990
AUCAUACUUCCUCCGUCCCAAAAUUAUUGUAUUUGUUUAGAUACGAAUGUAUCUAAUACUAAAACAUGACUUGAUACAUCCGUAUUUAGACAAAUCUAAGACAAGUAUUUUAGAACAAAGGGAGUACUUU